ACCUAUUGGUAUCAAGGAUAUGAGCUUAGGGGUUAGAAGUCGACAUAGUUAUCUACAGAAAAAAUAAUUUCUACUUAGAUAUUUAUACUUAUAAAAAUAUUUAUUCUAGAAACUUUAAAAAUAAACAAAGCUUCCAUUAUUUCUUCGAAUCUCCCACACUCCUCGGGUGGAUAAAUGAAAACCUAUAUGUGAUUGGUUUGAAGUGGGUACUAUGGUCUCAUUAAUCUA
rnacentral:lncRNA from 1 species